GGUGGCUUUCAAUUCCGAGGGAAGAGCAAUGGAAGACGGUGAACAACCCACGAUUCUGAUCACUAACGAUGACGGAAUUGAUGCACCUGGUUUGAGAGCUCUGGUUCAGGGUCUUGUCUCCACUAAUCGUUUUAACGUUCAAGUCUGCGCCCCUGAUAGGGAGAGGUCGGCUGUUAGUCACAGUAUUACAUGGCUUCACCCUAUAGAAGCCAGGCCAGUAAACAUUGAUGGAGCCUCAGCGUAUGCAGUUUCUGGGACUCCGGCUGAUUGUGCCUCUCUGGGAAUUUCCAAAGCACUGUUUCCUACAGUAGCUGAUCUGGUACUCAGUGGCAUAAACAUGGGUAGCAACUGCGGUUAUCAUGUUGUUUACUCGGGGACAGUUGCUGGUGCUAGAGAAGCCUUCUUCAAUGAUAUACCUUCUAUCUCCAUUUCAUAUGAUUGGGUUAGGGGAAAGAGUAACAUAAAUGACUUUUCCCUUGCUGCUCAAGCAUGUCUACCUAUCAUAAGUGCGGUACUAGUUGAGAUCAAGAAUCAAAGAUUCCCACAAAGAUGCUUUCUAAAUGUAGACUUGCCAGCUAAUAUUGCUGAUCAUAAGGGAUACAGGCUAACAAAGCAGGGAAAAAGUUUUUUCAAGAUGGGUUGGAGGCAAGUGACCUCAGGGACACAUGGAGAAAGAAUGUCAUCUACGAUGACCAUGGAUGUAGAUACAGCAUUACCUACAGAAGCUAAAACAUCGUCCGUAUCACCAGAACAUCUCUUAUUCAGGAGAGAAGCAAAAGGUCCUCACCUUGACGAUGGUGAUACGGAUCACAAAUUUUUGCAGGAAGGAUAUAUCACUGUUACUCCUCUUGCUGCUCUAUCUCCAGCGGAGGCAGAUUGUCAUGCCUAUCUAAAGGAUUGGCUAUCAAGUGUUCAUGAACUCCCCUCAGCAUCGGCUAUAUAAUGCUACUACUUCAGUUUAAGGUGAUUUCUACCUCAAUCUGCUGCUAAAGAAAUCACUCAAGUCCGGUGCGCAGCAUCAAUAUUCCUUACAGUUUGGUUGCAUCAAUUCCCAUUGUCUUUCAAUCCGGGAAUUCCUACUUCUUACUGCAUCUGUUGAAAAUAAAGUAGUGUUUACCUGAAGAUUGCGGUCUAAUAUGGCCUUCCUUCCCAGAGGGCAUGUUUUGAAAUCAAAUCCUCAGAUGGAUGUUUCCCCAGUUUGAGAUAACAUAGCCGCGGCUUUUGAUCGUACACAUAUCUAAGUGCAUGUGCUUUUAGCUCAUGGUGCUAAGCAAUUCAGACAAUAUAAGGCUUCUCAUUACUGGUGAAUUAGCCUCGUUGUAAUUUAUUUUGGUGGAGCCAUACUUCAUAUCGGGAAUGCAUGCCUUCUCCUUGUGUAAAAAGACAUUUGCUAUUUGGGUUAAUGACUUAUAAACAGUGUUUCAAUUAUUAUUUACGAAAUAUGAAAUAAGUAUGUGA